rnacentral:misc_RNA from 1 species
UCCGGUUUGUUUCCGGCAGUCUCUCUAGAUAGAUAACUAAAGACAAGGGUUGCGCUCGUUGCGGGACUUAACCCAACAUCUCACGACACGAGCUGACGACAGCCAUGCAACAUCUGUGCACCCGUCCGAAGAGGGGCUGCUUUCACAGCCUUGCGAGUGCAUGUCAAGCCCAGGUAAGGUUCUUCGCGUUGCAUCGAAUUAAACCACACGCUCCGCUGCUUGUGCGGGGCCCCGUCAAUUCCUUUGAGUUUUAGUCUUGCGACCGUACUCCCCAGGCGGGCCACUUAAUGCGUUAGCUUCGGCACGGAAGGGGUCAACACCCCCCACACCUAGUGGCCAUCGUUUACUGCUAGGACUAC